UAUCGUCUCACGUGUCUCUGCUCCAUCUCUCUCAUCUUUCACUAUGUCUGUCCAGCUAGUCGUAUCUCUCCUAGCUCUAGCUUCUCUGAAUGCUGCAUCUGCACCGCUCUGUAAAGAACUGGUCAAACCCCUGAUACUGGAGGACCAUACUGAGAUCUAUGGCAAAUGGGUGUGAUGGGGUCUGCGGAUCAUUCAGUCUUCCAAAAAGCUUUGGGGACUCUGAAAAGCUCCUGGAUUGACCUGUCGGCUACAUCUGACCAUCAAGUAGUCACACUACGUUGGGGAGACCGCAUUGAUGGCAAAUGCGUUGUCGGUGCAACAAAUGCUACCAUCUCCGACACCACCUCCACAGUUAACAGUAAGUGACCCGUGCUCUACUAGCCUGCUCGCCAGACCUGUCUGUGCUUUAGCCAACACCCUCUUCUGGCGUUAUGCCAAAUAGGACAUCAACAAAGGAGCGAGUUGGCUGAAGCAGAAACAAAUUUGGCAACCAGGCUUGUGCUCUACAUCUUAAUGAUGAAAUCAUUUAGCUGCUCAAUAAUAGGAACUUUAU